GAUGAACGCUGGCGGCGUGCCUAAUACAUGCAAGUCGAGCGAACAGACGAGGAGCUUGCUCCUCUGACGUUAGCGGCGGACGGGUGAGUAACACGUGGAUAACCUACCUAUAAGACUGGGAUAACUUCGGGAAACCGGAGCUAAUACCGGAUAAGAUAUUGAACCGCAUGGUUCAAUAGUGAAAGACGGUUUUGCUGUCACUUAUAGAUGGAUCCGCGCCGCAUUAGCUAGUUGGUAAGGUAACGGCUUACCAAGGCAACGAUGCGUAGCCGACCUGAGAGGGUGAUCGGGCACACUGGAACUGAGACACGGUCCAGACUCCUACGGUAGGCAGCAGUAGGGAAUCUUCCGCAAUGGGCGAAAGCUUGACGGAGCAACGCCGCGUGAGUGCUGAAGGUCUUCGGAUCGUAAAACUCUGUUAUUAGGGAAGAACAAAUGUGUAAGUAACUAUGCACGUCUUGACGGUACCUAAUCAGAAAGCCACGGCUAACUACGUG
rnacentral:rRNA from 1 species